AUACCACCAUCUAUAUACAACUACUACAUACCACCAUCUAUAUACCACCAUCUAUAUACCACUAUCACAUACCACCAACUAUAUACCACCAUCUAUAUACCACUAUCACAUACCACCAACUAUAUACCACCAUCUAUAUACCACUAUUACAUACCACCAUCUAUAUACCACCAUCUAUAUACCACUAUCACAUACCACCAACUAUAUACCACCAUCUAUAUACCACUAUUACAUACCAACAUCUAUAUACCACCAUCUACAUACCACUAUUACAUACCACCAUCUAUAUACCACUAUUACAUACCACCAUAUAUAUACCACUAUUACAUACCACCAACUAUAUACCACUAUUACAUACCACCAUCUAUAUACCACUAUUACAUACCACCAACUAUAUACCACUAUUACAUACCACCAUCUAUAUACCACUAUUACAUACCACCAUCUAUAUACCACUAUUACAUACCACCAACUAUAUACCACUAUUACAUACAACCAUCUAUAUACCACCAACUAUAUACCACUAUUACAUAACACUAUCUACCAUCUAUAUACCACUAUUACAUACCACCAACUAUAUACCGCCAUUACAUACCACCAUCUAUAUACCACCAACUAACAUCUAUAUACCACUAUUACACAACACAAUCUAUAUACCACUAUUACAUACCACCAUCUAUAUACCACUAUUACAUACCACCAUCUAUAUACCACUAUUACAUACCACCAACUAACAUCUAUAUACCACUAUUACAUACCACCAUCUAUAUACCACUAUUACAUACCACCAACUAACAUCUAUAUACCACUAUUACAUACCACCAGUUAAUCCUCCACCUAUAUACCACAACCAGCCCGACGGCCUGGGAGGACGGGACUCCGGUGCGUCCGGUUCUCCCAGAGAAAGUUGUGCCGUUAAAGAGAAGGUUUUACCGUUAAAGGCCGUGCAGCUUUUACUUUUUACCAUGUGGCCUCUGCAGAAGUCAGGGCAUUCAUACGUACUGCGCUUCUCCGUGCCGCACAGAGCUGUUGUCAAGGAAGU
ensembl:lncRNA